rfam:Edhazardia aedis TSNM 41457 supercont1.26, whole genome shotgun sequence.
GGAUUUAUGGUGUAGCGGUAGCACUCAGGACUUUGACUCCUGCAACCCGGGUUCGAACCCCGGUAAAUCCU